GUGCCAGCAGCCGCGGUAAUACCGGCAGCCCGAGUGAUGGCCGAUCUUAUUGGGCCUAAAGCGUCCGUAGCUGGCCAGACAAGUCCGUUGGGAAAUCCACCCGCCCAACGGGUGGGCGUCCGGUGGAAACUGUGUGGCUUGGGACCGGAAGGCGCGACGGGUACGUCCGGGGUAGGAGUGAAAUCCCGUAAUCCUGGACGGACCGCCGAUGGCGAAAGCACGUCGCGAAGACGGAUCCGACAGUGAGGGACGAAAGCUAGGGUCUCAAACCGGAUUAGAUACCCCGGUAGUCC
rnacentral:rRNA from 1 species